CCAAAAUGAUCUUGGUCUUUCGACAGCCAACACCAUAGCGGGUGCAUGUGCUGGGGCAAGACAAGUGGAAGUGACAAUUAAUGGCAUCGGUGAAAGAGCUGGAAAUGCUUCUUUGGAAGAGGUGGUAAUGGCCUUAAAAUGCAAAGGGGGGAGCAUAUUGGGAAGUCUUU